UCAAAAAAGUGGUAAUGGGAUUCAGUGUGUUUCUCAAGGGUACUUUAGUAUUUGUCUAAAUGUGAGGUCAACAUGGAUAAAGAAAUAGUAAGAGACAUUGGGAGAUCAAAGACGGAUUGCUUUCAAGCGAGCGGCCGUAAAAGGGACAGCAAACUUCUGUCUGUGAGUGACUUUAUGGUUUCAUUCCAACGAGGGAAAAAGACAAAAGGCAUAUUUCAGCACCAAGGGGGCCACAUCUGACAGGUACAAUGAAGCGGAAACAGGAUUCAUCCUUCAUGAAAAUUUGCACAUUGCUUGGUCUGCAGCGUCACAGCCUGUCCCUGCUGCUCUAACAUGGACAAAAUGUUUUCAAGAGGAGCCCUCCGGAAAACUUGAAAGCAUCCCUGCAUUCUGUCCUUUCUCUCACUCCUUCCCUCUCCCCUCUUUUGAUUUGCAAUAGCACAAAGGCAGUCAAAAUGCAAAAAUGCUUGACCAUUCCACAGGCGUCCUCCCUCUGCAUAAACUUCUCGGUUGCCCCUUUGUCCGAUUAAUACCUUCAUGUCUUUCAGGCUCGCCUCCAUCCCCCCAACACACCCCCAGCCCCAACCCCACAUCGCCAUCCCAGACAAGCCUUAGUCCUCAUUAUACACAGCUUCCACUCUAGUUCCCAAGAUUAGGCAAAUGAGCUCCCAAGCGCAGUCUAUAGACAGCACCGGACCCCACUCCCUUUUCAAAAUCAAUCCUGACAUUCACCAAAAAAUAAGACGCAGUUUUUAAGCACUAUUUUACUUUCUAAUACAAGCUAAAAUUUUAGUUUGACAGGAUAUGAGCUGUAAUGAUGGCAAGUGGUUAUGAAAAUAUUGUUGGUUUUUUUCUUUUACAUUUCAGAUUCACAAUGAUUCAUUCAGAAUGAGCAUUCCUAUCAAUAACAAUAGCGCAUUCUUGAGCAGUGGGGCAAAUCUCUUCACAGAGCUCCAAAUGAACCCUCUUGAACAAAACACAUCACAUUCAAUGCAAACAUAAUUCACCAUCAAUUGAAUCACUUCCUGUCACUUAAAAAAAAAAAAAA